rnacentral:rRNA from 1 species
AGUGAACGCUGGCGGUGGGCCUAACACAUGCAAGUCGAACGGCAGCACAGUAAGUUCUUUCUCUUACGGGUUGCGAGCGGCGGACGUGUGAGGAAUGCAUCGGAAUCUACUUUUUCGUGGGGGCUUACGUAGGGAAACUUACGCUCAUACCGCAUACGACCUACGGGUUAAAGCAGGGGAGCUUCGGACCUUGCGCGAUUGAUUGCGCCGAUGUCGGAUUAGCUAGUUGGCGGGGUAAAGGCCCACCAAGGCGAGGAGCCGUAGCUGGUCUGAGAGGCUGAUCAGACACGCGAGAACAGAGACACGGUCCAGACUCCGACGGGAGGCAGCAGUGGAGAAUUUUGGACAGUGGGCGCAAGCAUGAUCCAGCCAUACCGCGUGGGUGAAGAAGGCCUUGGGGUGGUAAAGCCCUUUUGUUGGGAAAGAAAAGCACCAGUUUAAUACCCCGCCGUUCUGACGGUACCCAAAGAAGAAGCACCGGCUAACUUCGUG